UUAUUUUCUAUUUUAAAAUUUAUUUUAAGACAGGGUCACUCUAUGUUACUCCUGCUCAUCUCCAACUCCUGGGCUCAACUCUCCUCCUGCCUCAGCCUCCUAAGUGGCUGGGACUGAAGGUAUGAGCCACCACGCUGACUGGCUCUCUUGGGCUCUCUCUAAUGAGCUAGGAAGGGGCUUUGCAACUUCUGGAGACAAAAAGUCUUUUUAAAAACUUAAGCAGGUGUAGUGGUGCACAUCUGUAAUCCCAGUGCUUGGGAGGCUGAAGCAGGCAGAUUGCUGCAGUUUGAGGCCAGCCUGGACUACAUAGUGAGACUGAGUCUCACAAAACAAAAGAAGAAGGAGAAGGAAAAGGAGGAGGAGAAGGAGAAGAAGAGGUGGCAGCAGCAGCAGCAUGAUAUAUAGUCUUCAUAUGAAACCCAGUACAUACAAUGGAUAAAAGUGGCAUUCUGCCAGCACACUUUCAUUUUGUGUGCGCACGUUUUUAACACGCAUUGUAAGCUCACCAGGAGAUUGUUUUGUCUGAUGAAGCUUCGCAGCUGUAGACUGUGGGUGACAGUUGCUGGGUCCUCAGCCCUGGCGCUGGAUGAACUUCUGCUCUUUGCUUUGCCAUGCGGCCCGAAUGUCCUCGGAGGGACAGGCUCAGAACCCAGGUGGUGCGGACUCUGUUCUAGGCCUGCCCUAAACCGAGGCACGCACUCCAUGGUGCUGGUUCCCAAUGUGUGCAUAACAUAGGUAUUUUGAAGGGGCAUGCACGUUAUUCCUUGUUUUAAUAGAAGAGAAAUAUUUCAAGCCAAGAGCACAGGCUUAUCUGUAACGUGAGUCGCCUGGGGGAGCGCGUAGGCUGUGGACAGGACUCAGGCAGUGCUGUAGGGCUGGCUCCAGACCACACCUGGAAGUGUCCUUGGUGCCAGCGUGUCUCAGGGUAUAUCGGGCACUCUGAGGACACAGGGACAAAUAGACCCAGGCCAGCCCUGAUGGCUCUCUGCAGAAAUGGACGCUCCUAGGCCUUUCACCUGGGAGAGGAGCAGCUCACGGUGGUCCUCAAAUAGUAAUUUUCAUAGUGAUUUAGUAUAACUUGGUCUCAAAAAACAAAACAAAACAAAACACCCCCAAACCCCAAAUCAGACAGAACACCUAUUUUUCAACAUCUACUUUCCUCUGAGAUUUUUGGGCAGCAACUCCUUUGUGUAGCUCGGGUAAGAUUUGUUUCAAGGUUCUUCCGCAGCCCCACCCCCACCGGAAGCGUGAGACUGUGCAGUUGAGGACAGCUGCUGAAGAUUGAUGACCCCCCUCUCUCUUUGUAUUCCUUGGUUUCAGAUCCCAAGCUGCUGUUGCAAAGAGACAAGAAGCAGUCGGGUCAUGUGCUAGCAACAUCACACAACUGAGGGAAUUAAAAAAAAAAACAGACUUCUCUGGUAUUUGUUGGUGAAGGCUGAAGCAGUAGGAGUAGGCUCUGGGGAAGGUGAGGAAACUAAGGAGCUGUGAGUGAGGUGCCUGAGCCAGCUCCAGUUUCUCCCUUCCCAGUGUCCUGCCAGUGGAGGGGGCUGCGUGUGCUGUUCUAUCCAUCCUUGGCUUGGGGCUUAGCAGGCAGUUUCCUGUCUCUGAGCUGGUCACAGCUUUUGGAGAUACCUGGAGGUGUUAAUGACAUUGCCAAUGUUUCACAGAGGCUCCAGGACCCCUGAGCUGCCCAUGACGGACCGUGUGGGUCCACCAGGAACAGCUGCACGGGGACCGGAACCUCCACCCACUUGCCUUCCACAGCCUGUGCUUGUCUGCUUCCUACUCAAGGGACUUUGGUGGCUCUCUCUGAGCCCUGUGAGCCUCAGUGUUCCCAUCUGUAGAAUAACGACAGUGCCGUCCACCUCAGCGUGUCGUUGAAGCUGGCCCAUAGGAAGCUCUCGGGAAAAGGCAGCUACUAUUGUAAUGGUCUGGACUCACGGACAAUGAGGAUGUGCAUUAUCACUUAAGAAAAGUAGCCUGUGGUGAACAGAAGUCUUAAACUCAAAGCUUAGAAGGGUUGGUGAUGAUGAAGGACUGGGUCCCUUCAUCCCAGGUGACCAUGACAGUUUGGGUUUUCAGUGGCCGUGGAGUGGACAUCAGUGGAGGCUUAAAAUUGUUUGUUUUUUUUGUUUUGUUUUUGGUACCAGGGAUCAAACUUGGGACCUUGUGCUUUCGAGGCAGGCGGUGGAACCACUGAACUAAAUUCCCAGUCCAUACUUUUUUUUUGGGGGGCUUGAAAUUUAAUUGGGAAAUGUUGAUUUCAUUCUUUGGGGGAGAUUCUGCAUAUCUACUGCUGUCAUACAACUCAAGCCCAGGGUAUAGUGCAGGCCACAUGCACUGUAAUGACCUCCUUCAAAGCCACCUCUGUGUUCCCGAGAUUGAAACCCGUUGACUGAAAGACCAGAACAAUACCCUCUGUCAUUCAAUCAGGACAGCACUGUAUUGAUUCAGAAGUCACACACACACACACACACACACACACACACACGUGCGCGCGCGCGUGCGCACGCACACGCACACUCCCCGGAUGGUGAUACUGGGGAUCUGGCAAGAAUGGGGAGGUUUGGGGACAGUUCACCUGGGAAUGGGCCUUUUCCAUCACACCAGCCCCCAGGUGUGGGUGGAAGUAACUUGGGACCAGGAAGCCCAGCUAGGAUUUGGUUUAAGUCAUCUUAUUGCUACUCUUUGUUCUGGAAGCUCUUUCUGGGGAAUAUAUUGAAACAUGUGGCUUUUCUUUUUUUAAAAAAUAUACUGAAUAUCUUAAACUGCUCUUGAAAUAGU
rnacentral:lncRNA from 1 species